rnacentral:rRNA from 1 species
GACGAACGCUGGCUACAGGCCUAACACAUGCAAGUCGAGGGACCGGCGCACGGGUGAGUAACACGUACCCACCCUGCCCUUUACCCGGGGAUAGCCUUUCGAAAGAAAGACUAAUACCCGAUGUAAAGGAUGGGGAUGCGUUCCAUUAGGUUGUUGGUGAGGUAACGGCUCACCAAGCCUUCGAUGGAUAGGGGUUCUGAGAGGAAGGUCCCCUACAUUGGAGCUGAGGCACGGUCCCAACUCCUACGCGAGGCUGCAGUGUGGAAUACUGUUCAAUGGGCGUUAGCCUGAACCAGCCAAGUAGCGUGAAGGAUGAAGCGUUAUGGGUCGUAAACUUCUUUUAUAUAAGAAUAUGUAUUAUAUGAAUAAGGAUCGGCUAACUCCGUGCCAGCAGCCGCGGUAAUUC